rnacentral:tRNA from 1 species
GGGGCUGUAGCUCAGUUGGGAGAGCGCCGCCUUUGCAAGGCGGAAGUCGUCGGUUCGAAUCCGAUCAGCUCCACCA